rnacentral:rRNA from 1 species
CAUGUCUUUUUGUAAUUUAUUUUAAGUCUGGUCUGCUCGAUGAUACAUUAAAUUGCCGCAGUAUUUUAACUGUGCAAAGGUAGCAUAAUAAUUAGUCUCUUAAUUAGGGACUUGUAUGAAAGGUUGAACAAGAGAAUAUCUGUCUCUGUUAAAAUUUUAAUUGAAAUUUAUUUUUAAAUUAAAAAGUUUAAAUAUAUUUAAAAGACGAGAAGACCCUAUAGAGUUUUAUAUUAAUAUGGUUUAGAUUUUGGGAAUUAUAAACUUCUUUAGUAUUUGGUUGGGGUGACUUAUGGAUUAAUAAAAUUCUUUAAUUUGUUGAGUUAAUGAUAAUUAAUUUUUGAUUCUAAUUAUUUUAAGAUUAAAAUAAAUUACCUUAGGGAUAACAGCGUAAUUUUUUUUUAAAGUUCAAAUUGAAAGAAAAGAUUGCGACCUCGAUGUUGGAUUAAAAUUAAUUUUUGGCGAAGUAGCUUUAGGAUUAGGUCUGUUCGACCUUUAAAAUUUUACAUGAUCUGAGUUUAGACCGGCGUGAGCCAGGUUAGAUUCUAUCUUUAAGUUUAUAUCUUAUUUUAGUACGAAAGGACCAAUUAGGAAUUAUAAUAUUAA